AUGGGGUCGGUGACAGCAGCUGAGGAUCGAGGGACCAGUGGGCGUCUUUUUUGGUGGAGCGGUGCUUCAUCCUACACAUUGAUGACGGCGGAUCUCGACGGCGUGGUGCAGUGGAGACUCAGCGCCCGAUGCGCGGUGAUGGACUCGCACAGCUGGAGGCAGUUGUCUGGCGUCAUGGUGGCGUCGAUGGCAGAGUGGCCUGACAAGGUAGAAGCCUCAAUAGCUGCUCUAAAGACGGACCUGUGGAAGAUGGCGGCGACGACACAUGUGAGUGCGUCAGACCAGUAUAUGCCCCAGGCCCGGUAUGUGGCUCGGCUGGGGCUUUUGGCUUUUGAUGAUAGGCUUAGGUGA
rnacentral:rRNA from 1 species